rfam:Gorilla gorilla gorilla genomic chromosome, chr9, whole genome shotgun sequence
GCUGGGCAUGGUGGCACAUGCCUGUAGUCCCAGCUACUAGGGAGGUUGAGGUGGGAGGAUCACUUGAGCCUGGGAGGUCAAGGCUGCAGUGAGCCAUGAUCAGGCCACUGCACUCCAGCCUGGGCAACAGAGAGAGAGCCUGUCUUUA